rnacentral:rRNA from 1 species
ACGCUCGACACCUACGGAGGCAGCACUGGGGAAUAUUGGGCAAUGGGCGCAAGCCUGACCCAGCAACGCCGCGUGAAGGAAGAAGGCCCUCGGGUUGUAAACUUCUUUUGUCAGGGACGAAGCAAGUGACGGUACCUGACGAAUAAGCCACGGCUAACUACGUGCCUGCAGCCGCGGUAAUCUGAGCGGGCUGGCAAGGC